CACGUAGUUAGCCGGGGCUUUCUUCUCAGGUACCGUCACCUCAGGAGCAGUUACUCUCCUGAGCGUUCUUCCCUAGGCAACAGAGCUUUACGACCCGAAGGCCUUCAUCACUCACGCGGCGUUGCUCCAUCAGACUUUCGUCCAUUGUGGAAGAUUCCCUACUGCUGCCUCCCGUAGGAGUCUGGGCCGUGUCUCAGUCCCAGUGUGGCCGAUCACCCUCUCAGGUCGGCUAUGCAUCGUCGCCUUGGUGAGCCGUUACCUCACCAACUAGCUAAUGCACCGCAGGUCCAUCCAUAAGUGACAGAUUGCUCCGCCUUUCCCAAAUCUCUCAUGCGAGAAAUUUGAUUAUCUGGUAUUAGCAUCCGUUCCGAAUGUUAUCCCAGUCUUAGUGGGCUAGGUUACCUACGUGUUACUCGACCCGUCCGCCGCUAAGCAUCAUCUUUACCGAAGAAAGCUAGCUCCGCUCGACUUGCUA
rnacentral:rRNA from 1 species